rnacentral:rRNA from 1 species
AUUGAACGCUGGCGGCAGGCCUAACACAUGCAAGUCGAACGAGUGGCGGACGGGUGAGUAAUGUCUGGGAAACUGCCUGAUGGAGGGGGAUAACUACUGGAAACGGUAGCUAAUACCGCAUACCAUCAGAUGUGCCCAGAUGGGAUAAGCUGGUUGGUGGGGUAACGGCUCACAAAGGCGACGAUCCCUAGCUGGUCUGAGAGGAUGACCAGCCACAGUGGAACGGGGAAACGGUCCAAGCUCCAACGGGAGGCAACAGUGGGGAAUAUUGCACAAUAGGCGCAGGCCUGAUGCAGCAAUGCCGCGUGUAUGAAGAAGGCCUUCGGGUUGUAAAGUACUUUCAGCGGGGAGGCGUUACCAGAAGAAGAAGCACCGGCUAACUCCGUGCCAGCCGCCGCGGUAAUUC